AUGGCAUCAUCCACAGAGAUCUGAAACCCGAGAAUAAUCUAUUGGCUUCUCAGGCAAAGCCCUGUCUCAUUAAGGUCACAGAUUUCAACCAGUCCAAGAUUCUGGAGGGGGAGAACAGCUCAACGCGACCACGGGGCAUGCACCUUACCAAUAGACGAGUCCAACACGAUACACCUGAAGCUCAUUUUAAACCCUUGCACGUGUUUCAAAUGUAAUCUGGUCACCCAGAGAACGAAGAUCACGGCCGACCAUCGCAAUACGACCGCGGGUGCGACCACCAGUGCAUCGCCGAGAACAGCUCAACGCGAGCGGCGAACGAAGAGGGAAAAGCCCCGCGGUCUUUGUUCAAAAGCAUUUCCUUUUUCUUUCCUUUUCUUUAAGUUAAGGGACAUGUAAACUUCUAUAGAAAACUACACCCACACAUGAUGUCGGGUCAAUAGCUCCACAAUCACGCUUUUUCUCUUGAGAAAUCAAAGAAAAAGAAGGAAGACGUUAAGAAAGCAAAGCAGAAGAAGCCUGGCCAGAAGGAAUCUCAGAAGGAGAGACGCGCGGGAGUCGACGAGCAACCUGCUCCUCCUAUGGUGAAGAAGCCCCCAACACGGGAGCCCAUGUCCAGUGAGAGCCGAGGCGGAGCAGUGGAGGGUCAAAGGGCCCCAAGAAGGAAUGCGUUUGAGGAGCGACCGUAUGAGCCAGAACAGUACUACCAGGAAAACUUCGGCCCCAAGGCCGACCUAUUCUCAAACUUUAAAUGGGUAAGAGGAGGAAAAGAAACGCUGGAAAUAACUGGUCCGAAAUGUUUAUAUUUUUAAUAAAAAAAUACGAUUUCAUAAAUUGCACAGAAUUUUAUUAAAGUUAGUCUUUAACUUCAGUCUUUACAAAGACUGAAGUUCAGUGGCCACAGUUUAGACCUUUCACAUUGCUUUGGGAAAUAUCGACAUUUUUGGGUUAGUUUGAAGGCAACUGUUUGCUUGUUGUUGAAGUGAAUGUGUUUAAAUAAAUCUAGUUUACAUUACAAACUGAAGCCCCACUCACCAAGUGUGCCUCAGAAGAAAGUAGGAUUUUUUUUUUUUUCAGCUUUACUGAUCGAUAUCCAUGUGAUCAAUAGCUUUAUUCUCCAUGUUUGCUAAAGGCAAAGACCACUUUAUCAAAUCCCAAUGGGAGCGUCUGGAUCCGCUGCUAAACCACCACAGGAAGACAAAUGAUACGAGACUAAAACACUACUUUGUCCACCUUUCAACUACAAAAUACUCCCAAGAAACCACAGAUUGUUUUUUGUCUCGGACUCAAACUCACGAUCACGGGGCAUGCACCUUACCAAUAGACGAGGUUGUGUAAACAAACAUUAAAAAAAAAAGGAAAAAUAAACUUGAAUACAAACUGAAAAGAAGAACCAUUUCUCUUUGAGUCCCGAACCUUCCCCGUACGGCAAUAGAUUAUCAUCAUGUCCAAUGCCAAUUUUAGGGAAAUCAAAAGAUGAAUAUAACCCUAACCCUAACCCCAUCGCCGAGAACAGCUCAAUGGGACCCUUGCACGUGUUUCAAAUGUAAUCUGGUCACCCAGAGAACAAAGAUCACGGCCGACCAUCGCAAUACGACCGCGGGUGCGACCACCAGUGCAUCGAAGCAGAACACACAGGACAUCAUCGGCUACAAACAGCUUAACGCGACCAAGUGUUUCCCAGGCUACGAUAUGGAGAGGACCCGCAUCAAGGUGAUGAUGAUGCGGGUUGAUGUUGUUGAUGACUAUGAUGUUCCAGUGUUUGCUAAAGAUAAAAAAGAGUACUUUUACCUUGCUCUGUUGAAUUGCACAUGUUUUUAUGUUGUGAUUUAGAUGUUAGCGACAGUAGGAUAGGACGGAUGAAGAUGUGAUGGUUUGAUUAGGGAGAUGUUUAGUUGCAGAUAAAGGUAAAGUCAACUACUGUUUAACUCGCUGGCAGUUAAAUCAACCUAUCCUGGCAGUUAAAUCAACUUUUUCUUUGUAAACAACUGACUCCGUAUUGUCUUGAGGGGAGAAUCGACCAACGUGGAUACAUCAUUAAUCAAAAUCUGGAUUUAGCAAAACAAAAUGAACACUUUGACUGCAGGCAAACACAACGCAGAUUCAACCGGUCACACUUCUAUAAAUCUAUAAAUGCCCGUAAAACAAAGAAAGCCUUGUGUCCGUUGUGGCAACCCGGCCCAGGCCAAUUAAGGAUAUUGAGAGCACCUGAAGAGACAGACUCUGAGGAGAAGUAGGGCUUAUCUUCUUAUCAUCUUCCUCGUCACAGAGCCGAGGAAGAUGUACUUUUUCAAUCAGUGUAUCUGUGCCACUUUAAUUGCCAUCUAAGACUAAAUACUGGCCUGUCCUUUGUGGCUCCAGCCUUCAUGAGGAGAGAGAAGUCCGGCCAGGUGAGAGUCUGCUCACCUGAAGAGACAGACUCUGAGGAGGAGCAGCUCUGGACCUCUGGAUUGACCGGACACCUGGAUGGCGCCGGGCGACAACGCCUAGGCCCGCACCAUUGUGGGGGCCCCGGGGAGCCCGUCGGCCCACAGCACGGUGAGGCGGGCGCUGGCCUGCGCGGAGCCGGCGCUGUUCUCGGCGAUGCACUGGUAGUCGCUGCCGCGGUCGUAUUGCGAUGGUCCCACCUGCCAAUCUCUGAGUCGAAGUUCUACAAACAAAGAAAAAGAGGGGCAUUUACAAACAAGAAUGUGUUUGCAUUGAAUGUGUGUAACGGAAGCAAAAUGCACCAAAUUGACCAAUUCCUUAUCAUGUGUUUUUGAUACUCACGUAUGUGGCCACGGCUGAACGGAUGUCCGUCAAGCUUGGGGACCCGGGGAGGCCCAUCUCCCCCCAAGCUUGGAGGAGGGACGACAACACCUGAGGCCGAUGUGUGUCAAACAAACAUUAUUAACAACUCUCAGAGUGACACAAGAUAUACCCAUCCUAGUUCUGGAAACAUUGGACCCGAAGCUUGUAUGUGUUUUAAUUAUGUUUGUAUUAUAAUUGAUAAUGCCUCAUUUGCAUUCCUUCUUAAAUGUUUUAUAUUGUUUUAUAUAUGCGUGUGUGUGUGUGUGUGUGUGUGUGUGUGGACAUAUACGUGUGCGUGUGUGCUAUGCACAUGUUUGAUGAACUAAUCCAUCCCACUCACCACAUCCCUGGUGUCUCCUCCUCCUCCUCCUCCUUGCCUUUAGCAAACACUGGAACAUCGUAUUCUUGCACUAUUGGUGGAUCUGAGCUUGAGGGCCGGUGGCUGAGGGUUAGAAAAAACAAACAGCAAGAGAAAAAAGGACAGCAUAUUAAUGACACUGUAAUGAUUGAGUUUUUGAAAUGGAGAGCACACAUAAUAACAGGUUAAUCAUGAACUGUAAAGAAUUCAAGUCCUGCAUUGUUCACUUACAUUUGACUCUUGAUCAAUUCGUAACUUAUGUAAGCUAGCAGCAGUAGCAGCGCCAUUUUGCGAAUGAAAACCAUGUAGACUCAAUCAAUAUAUGUUCCCGGGGAGACGGAGCACUUCGUUUCGUUUGUUUGGCCAAAACAUUGUGGCUCGGGCUGAUGAACAUUCAAUUGUAACGUAGUUUGAGAAGUAAAAGAAAGACAAUGACAUUCGUCAUGUCGUACUGACCUCACGAGCAUGGUCAACCAUAAAACUUUGUUUUCCCCAAGAAUCCUGUCUUCUGCCUUUUAUGUUUGGCAGUCCAAAGGCUGCUGAUUUUACGUUUGUUGGACACCGUAACAGUGUGUCACUAUCUUAUUGCCUGCAUGAGAGAUCAAUGUUGUUAUAAGCUGUUACGUCUUUCUUACCGAUCGCACAAGGCUGACUUGGGCUGUACCACUUCGGGAGGGAUCGCUCAGUUGAAUUGGUUGCGACCUUGACUCCAUAUAUGGACAUUGGAAUGCGGUUUUCACACGCUGCUAUGUUGCAUCUGUGGCUGCCGGUAAUUCAAACACAAAGAAGUAAACUCUACGAGGUUAGUCUGAAGCCAUGGCACACAAAUAUACAUUAACUUGUAUAUUUGUAAUAAUUAAUUAAUCCUCACCAACUAGGAAGCUGACACACCGUUAUUGUUCAAUAAUUAAUAAUGAAAUAAUAAUAUUAAACAGAUUUUGUCCAUAGCAUAGGUGUUCGGGUCCAGUGGACCGGUUUAUUUUGCAGUGACGCCUAAACACUCAAAGACGCCUAAAGUGAAGGGGGGACCUCACUAACCACCACCAAUAUGUAGCACCCACUUGGGUGAUGCACGGCAGCCAAACGGCGCCAGAAUGCUCACUACACAUCAGCUUGAGGUGGAGAGUUAGGGAUGAGGUGGAGAGUGAGGGAAAAGAACAUUUAAACACUAUCGACCAUAUUUAAACACUAUCGAUCACAUUUAAACAUUUAGAUUCACUGCUCUCUAUUGUGACCCUCAAUAGAGAGCAGUGAAUCUCUCUCUCUCUCUCUCUCUCUCUUGCUGCUGCACUAUGUUGCUGUUGCUUGAGUCUGGCCUGUAUCAGCAGCAUAUAACAUUGUGCAUUACUUGGUUCAUAUGUGAGGCCUGGUCUGAUCUGAUCUGAGCAUCUUCUGUGGCCUAAUUGCUGGGCGCUAUCCUUCUCCAUUUCAAAGGGUCAGCUGUGAGGGCUGGUCUGGUCAUACUGUCAGUCACUAAGACUGUGGGGGUUGGGGCAUUUUCUCUUAUUUGGAGAAGCUCCAACACAUGAGCUUACCUCUCCCGAAAUAAGUGUUUUUUGUGAAUGACAGACAGGGUCGUUAAGACUGACAAAAAGAUCUCGAAAUUGGAUAAGUACAAUUUCAGACACUUUCGGAAACAUAAGUUUAUUCAUGAAUCUUUUUAAUUCAUAAAUGUAUGGAUUUAUAUCACUUUUAUUCAAAACAAAACACAUUUGUGUGUGGAUCAGAAAUGUGUGUGUGAAACUUACUUUUGCCUAUGGAUUUAUAUUACAGUUAUACCUGCCGAUAUCCAUUUGUGUGUGCAUUGAAAUGUAUUUGUGAGAAGAGAGUAAUUUAUAUAAAAAUUACAAAAUACAUUUGUUAAUCCUUCUCUGUGCAUUCAUUAUUAAUGAGACUGUUCUGACCCCAUAAAAAUGGACAAACAACGACCAGUUUCCAAAUGUUUUUUUAUUGAAACGUUUCAAACAUGGAACAUAAAUAAAUAUAUAGAACUAAAACACAACAUGAAUAAAUAUAUAUAACUAAAACAAAACAUGAAUAAAUAUAUAUAACAAAAACACGGAACAUGAAUAAAUAUGAAGAACUUAAACAUAACAUGAAUAAAUAUAUAGAACUGAAACACAACACGAAUAAUAAAUAUAUAGAACUGAACUGAACUACUGAACGGUUACGCCGCUAUUCCACUGCAUGGUACCAGCUCGACUCGACUCGACUCAGCUCGCAUUUUUUGCGUUUCCACCGUGAAAACAUGGUAUCUGGUACCUGAAGUGGCUGCUUUUUUUAG
ensembl:lncRNA